UACGGAGGAUGCGAGCGUUAUCCGGAAUCAUUGGGUUUAAAGGGUCCGUAGGCGGGCUGAUAAGUCAGAGGUGAAAGCGCUUAGCUCAACUAAGCAACUGCCUUUGAAACUGUUAGUCUUGAAUGAUUGUGAAGUAGUUGGAAUGUGUAGUGUAGCGGUGAAAUGCUUAGAUAUUACACAGAACACCGAUAGCGAAGGCAUAUUACUAACAAUUUAUUGACGCUGAUGGACGAAAGCGUGGGGAGCGAACAGG
rnacentral:rRNA from 1 species